UGAACAAAUGAACGAUCCCUUGGGGGAACCACAGAGGGUUAAAGUCCUGGUUCUAUUAUAAGCUUCAGUGUCCUCUGCCAAGAGGUAUUACCCAGCUCAUAAGUGGUUUUAUGAAACCAUACAUGCACACACACACAUCCAUAUACAUAUACAUACAGACAGACAGACAUACUAUUGAUACAAGAACUAUGUAAAAUGUGCAGCCCAGAGUCCAACAUGCAGCAUGUACACAAUGGCGGGGUGUAAAUGUUUCACAAUUCAGGUUACUUCCUUACCGGUCUGUAUCUCAUUUGUAGCCAACAGAACCUACAUUUGUGAAUCUGCACAGAAGGGCUCAGAAGACUGGAGCUGGUAAACUUUUCAGGGUGGUGAUUCCAGCAGGAAGGCAAUGCUAGCUCCCUCCCCUGCCCAACCACGGAAACGUGGAGAAAGCUGAACCUUUUUGGACUUGUGUGGUGACUUUCUCUAUUAGAGAGGGCAGUUGCUUGGCUCAAGGAUAAGGGUCUACAGUGAGGACCCUGGAAUCAGCAGUGACCCCAGGCACCAGCCUCCUGCAGUGACCAGCACAAGAGUGCAACAACCACCAGACUUCCAAUCAGAAGACCUGGGCUCGAGUCCCAGAUCUGCAGCGAGCCAGCUGCCAGUGACUUCACGCCUCAGAAUCUCACUUAGAAAAUGGGGAUACAUUUGGCCAUUCCCACAGAAGAGAAAAUACGUUUUCAAGAAACCAAAGAUUGAGACUUCCCUGGUGGUCCAGUGGCUAAGACUCUGUGUUCCCAAAGCAGGGGCCUGAGUUCUAUCCCUGGUGGGGGAAAUAGAUCCCACAUGCCACAACUAAGAGUUUGCAUGCCUCAACGAAAGAUCCCGAAUGCUGCAACAAAAAUCUAAG